GGGAUUAUCAUGGGGAUUGGGAUUAAUGACGGCUAUAGGAGCGAUACUGGGGCUUCUUUAGCUCCCGCCUGAACCCCAGCAGUGCUCAGGCACGGACUGGGGGAGAAAUGCCCUAAAAAAAGGGGAGUGAGCCUUGGUGCCAGUGUUUUAUGACUCACUGGGGCCUCUGACCAACGCUUUGCCCAGGAUGGCUCCGUGGAAAAGCCCAGGACAGGCUGUAGGGCUGGUCCUGGCCUGUAAGGCUGAGAGGAAAAGCAGAACCGAGUUAGCAGAGUUGGAAAAACAGCAUAAUCCAGGAGCGUUGGUGGCUCCUGGGCGCGACACGAGCUGGCCCAGUCACGGGGCCCGGCUCCCUGUGGAACUGGUUGGAGCCGGCUGAUCAGGUAAUUCUCUCGAUGUGAGGCUGCACAACAAGCCCUGUGAUGAAAUGCUGACAUUUGAAAUUCAAAUGGUUGUUUACUCGCCUCCAGAACAGGAAGCUUUGAUCAGUUAUGAAGCAGUCACCGUCUGUGAACUGAUGUGGAAACGUGCCUUGGCAGCUUUAUCUACUGCUCCCUCAGUGAAACCAGAUGACCUUGUUAAAUCCUCCACUCACAAAGCAUCAGCACGUGUCUGAUGGGCAAGAUUCACUACAGAGCUGCUCUAUUUCCCCCUAAAAACAGCUCAAACCCAGACAAAAAUACUAAACCACCAAGAAAAAAAGAGAAAAACCAAACCCCAACAACAGAAUCCUUUUGCUUUCCUUUCUCCUAACAGGGUUUCUAGCACCUCCUGGUUUACAGUAAAAAGGAAAUAAAUCAUCCUACCAAUAAUUACUCAAAAUGCAGGAACAGGAAGAGGGAAGAAUGGUAACUGGAAAGUUCAGAAAGCUCCAUGGCAAUAAACAACGUUGGAAAUAUCAUUUUGGCUACAUAAAUUUAGGACAAAAGGCAGAGUUGGGCAAUUCCCGUUUGUUUGCUGCCAGUUCUGCUCAGCAUUUCCAACAUGGGUUUUGUUUGGUGCUGCCAAGGAGGCUGAAUGUUUGCUCCAAGGCUGGCCUGUGCUUGCUGCACAUCCCAGGCACUCUUCCCCAGGGAAAGGCCAUGAGUGACUGAUAUUUACAAAUAUGAAAGGCCACAUCUGUCAAGCUGGAGAUUAAUGUAAAGCCUGGGCAGUGUUAAAGCACAUCACACAUUUACUAAGGAUUUUAGGGUGCCUGUUUCUCUUUUUAACAUUCCUCUAGAUGGAAAAAUAGCAAUUUCUGUAUUUUUUCUUUCCUUUCUAUGUAAACCAGAAAGCACAGGUGCCCUCUCUUUUUUUUUUUUUCCUAAAUAUGGCUAAAUCUAUGGUGUGGCUGUACAAAGCACAUGCAUUUAACAAACUUUCCCCUGGUAGCUGUAGGUGAAUAAAAAACCAUUGAGCAGCUGUCUCUGAGCUGUAUAUAAAUAAAUGCAGAGCUGAAAACCCAGAAAUCUGUAUCUUGUGACUGCUCUGACCACAGGUGGCUACAGCCUUUGCCAGGGCACGGGGCCUGCAGUUGGGAACACACAUUUCUUCUCAAAAGUAGGUCACUGGGCAGUGGUACAGAGCAACCUACUUUCAGGAGAGAAGAAUCUGGGGUCAGGGAAAUGUUUCCAAGGAAUCUGUACAUUCUGGAACACAAGCUGGGUCUGGUUUUUAUGUAGGCUAAUGUUCUAGCAACGAGGUAUCAUUUUUACAUGAGGCAAUCUGUUUAUCUUUAGCUACCAGGUUUACCUUGGGACAGCCAGCCAGGCCAUCACAGGGUGUGUGGCAAGUCCAGUUACUGCUCUUUGUUCAGACAAAAAUAGGGCUGCUUGCCACAGGGGGAAAAAAAAAAAUAUAUCUAUAUAUACAUAUAUACAUAUUCCUAUCUCCUAACAUUACUCACACCUGCCUCUCACUGUGUAUGAUGCAGUGUAAUUAUAUUUACAGUUGUGGAGAUAAAUAUAAAUAUUGUCUCCCUGUAGCAGUGCAGGAAGGUCCAGGCUUGGAUCAGGUUCCACCCACGAGACAAACAGACCCGUGGCAUGUCACUGCUUGUCCUCAGGCUGCCAGCCUGGAGGGUUACACAAAUAGUGAGUCAGAAUUCAAAGUACUGUGAGAUUGACUGUGAUAUUCUGAGAUUACCAAAAAAAGGCAACUCCCUCGGUUUUGUUUUGAUAGCUUUAUGCUAAAAAUAAAUUCACUAAACAAAGUUUUUAAGAAGCCACCGACUUCAGGAGCUAAGAAAAACAAAUUUUAAGAAAAACAAAUAGAUUGGUAGUAAAAAGAUGAAAAUUAGUGAUACUCCUCGGUCUCCCUGCUUGUCUAAAGCGUAUUUUAACUUUGUAGGACACGUGGGAUUCAGCUUUCAGAGCUGUGCUGCCACGAUAAACAGGCUUGGGCACCUCUGGGUGACGCAGAGGGACAUGUGACAGCUCUGCUGGAAGGAGACGUCCAAAGGGGAUUUUGUAAAGGGCUGAAAUCACAGGUUUGUGCCUGCGUGUUGUGCCAGUGAAAGCAACAGCUUUAACUAAUAACUAGGUCUGUUCUACAGCUCCUUGUCUGCAUCUCUCACUCUGCCUCCUGCCUGAAUGGUUUGGAUCCGGUCCAAGCUGCAGUGCAGGGACGGAGCUGCUUUGUUCACCUCCUCUGCUGCCUCUGAGCGCAUUCGGCUUGCGCUUUCCGGGGUGAGGUUUUCCAGCAAAACAGCAGAGAAGUUCCUUGGGAAACAGGCAGACAGAAGAAGAAAUGGCCGAAGAAACAGGCAGAAGAAAGAGUCCUAAGCUGUUGUUAAUCAUUGUGUGUCCAACAGAAGCUCUGUAACAGUGAACACAAACAAACACCGUCAAGGCCCUUCUGAUCAGCCCGGGGGUGUCACCUCCUACAUUUUGUUUUCAGAUCCAGCUUGGGUCCUUUGAUGGUGAGGAAAACGUCUGGAAUGUUUCCCCCUCCACCACAGGGAGACUCAAACCCAAGCACUGCCAUUUCCCCCCCUGAACAAACCAUGUACUUUGAACCACCUCAGUUUAUUUAAGUGUGCUGUCAGCUGUACACAACUCCUAGUUCCCUGCUUAUUAGAUAUAAAAAACUUCCACAGUUCCUAAUUCUCUUUUACCCACAAACAUGUAGCUGCUUUUGGUGCUGCUUUGGGGAUAAAAUUGCUCUUACAGGCAGAAUUUCAAUGCUGGCUGUGAGCCAGGCCUGCAGAGCUGAGUCAUUGUUAUACAAGCAGAGCUGAGAUGGCGCAGAAAAGCCCCUUUGUACUUUAACACCGAACACGUCAGCUGCUGCUGGCCUUUCAGCAUCACAAGACACCUACACAGAACAAACUGCAAUUUACUGGACUUUUCCUCUUGUCCACCUCGUCCAUCAUCUGUCUGGAUAUUUCUUCCUGCUCCAUUCUGCCUCUCAAGCUGAACAGCAAAUGCAUUUUUCAUCAAGCUUUUGGCCUCUCCUGAAGCCUGGCAAACACUGCAUCAGCUUUGGAAACAGUGAAAUGAGAGCUGGUAGCUCUGGGCACUGGGAAGGUGCUGCCCAGAUAUACACUGACAAUACGUUUGACCACUGAAAUUUAGGACUUUCAGCUCAAAAUAUCUGUAACAUUUAUCAUCAUCCAGAGUUCCACCUUAAAGGUCUGGAAUUGAUUAUUUAUGUGAGACUCGGUUUUGUGUUCUGAGUCCUUAGUGAUAAAAUAUGAAGCAAAUGAAAAAAGAGAAACAAUUUAUUUACUAUGGCAUUUUGCACUUCCAUUUUUGUCCUCCAGUUCCUUAUUCUGAGAUAUCACAGGAGAAGAGAAUUUAGCUUCUCAGAACAGCUUCUGCAUUUAAAAUAAAGUGAACUAAUUGUGGAGAGGAACAGAGAGUGACAGAUUUGCAGAUAUUACAUGGACAAAUUCCCUCCAGUUUGCUCCUGGAACUGCUUUUUUGAGUGCUGGUGGCUCCUGUCAUUGGGUCAUUUGUAUGAAUCGACAUAAUGAGCCCCUAAAAUGAACUCCUAAAAUUGCCCUCUGGCUUUCAGUGUGUUGAGUUCAGUGGUUUUGGGACAGGACGGACCAUGAGUGGUGCUGGCCAUACCCCAGGGGAGAAGAAUCCCUGCUGCAGCCAGCACAGGCUCAGUUUCAGUGCCUCCCCAGUUUCACCUCAGUGACUUUUUCCUCCCAAAAUACGAGGUGACUGACAUGUAAUCCGGUUUGACUAAAGGUCUGGGAGUGGCUCAGAUCAGGAGCUGCAGAUGAAUUUGUCGCACAGCGUGUAUUCUCGUGCUUCCAUGGGAGUGAGUAACCAGAGCGGAGAUUCACACAGGGGAUAACAGGAAAUUGUAACUUGGUGCCCUUUCCUAUCGUCAGGGAGGUGCUGAGGCACAGGAUUCUUAAGCAAAUCCUGGCAUGCGCCAUCUCAGGAGGCAGCCUGAACACCAGUCACAUCUUUUUAAAGCUCUUUUCCAGACCGGAGUGCUGAUGGAUGUUUAUUCAUCACUGCCCUGCUUUGCCAUGUUCCUGACUGCCACAGGACCCUUUGGUGCCUCUUUGCCUCUCAAGACUCAGCUCACUUGUUUACAUCUUUCCCCUUCUUGGAAAGAACAAGACAUUAAGUUCUGUUGACUACAAAUUCUUGAUUAUAUGUCAAACAAAAGAAGUUUCCAAUCCUGCAACACUGAGCACAAAGGUAACAAGGAGGAGAGGACACGGCCUCAAGCUGUGCGGGGGAGCUUUAGGGUGGAGAUGAGGAAAAGAUUUUUUUCACUGAGCGUUCUCCACGUUCUACACCAGCCCCUCCCGGUGCCGCCCGGUCCUGCCGUGUCCCCUCAGCCCCUCCUGUGUCCCCUCAACCCUCCUGUGUCCCCUCAACUCCCCUGUGUCCCCUCAGCCCCUCCCGUGUCCACUCCCGUGUCCCCUCAGUCCCCCC